UACGUAGGUGGCAAGCGUUGUCCGGAUUUAUUGGGUUUAAAGGGUGCGUAGGCGGCCCUGUAAGUCAGUGCUGAAAUAUCCCGGCUUAACCGGGAGGGUGGCAUUGAUACUGCAGGGCUUGAGUGAAGUCGAGGUAGGCGGAAUUGACGGUGUAGCGGUGAAAUGCUUAGAUAUCGUCAAGAACACCUAUAGCGAAGGCAGCUUACUAGGCUGUAACUGACGCUGAGGCACGAAAGUGUGGGGAUCAAACAGG
rnacentral:rRNA from 1 species